rnacentral:rRNA from 1 species
CAGCCGCCACGGUAACACGGGGGGGGCAAGUGUUAUUCGGAAUUAUUGGGCGUAAAGGGCUCGCAGGCGGUUUCUUAAGUCUGAUGUGAAAGCCCCCGGCUCAACCGGGGAGGGUCAUUGGAAACUGGGAAACUUGAGUGCAGAAGAGGAGAGUGGAAUUCCACGUGUAGCGGUGAAAUGCGUAGAGAUGUGGAGGAACACCAGUGGCGAAGGCGACUCUCUGGUCUGUAACUGACGCUGAGGAGCGAAAGCGUGGGGAGCGAACAGGAUUAGAUACCCCAGUAGUCCCUGUCUCUUAUAA